CUCUUGGUACUUUACAGGAGGAAUGGGCCGAACACUGCCAUUUGAGGGUGAACCUGACCAUCUUGUUCCAGCAGCAUCAGAGGCACAUAUUGAAAGCAACCUCUUCCGGGUUGCACGAAGGAUGUUGGCCCACACCUUUCUGCAUGACGGUCCCCAUGUUACAGGAUUAAGUCCUGCUGUAAUUCAUGUACUGUUCAAUGGGGACCCUGAAAUGGCUACUGUUGUUGUUGAACACUGUCCUGAUCUGCACAUCAGGAGCAUCAUAGAACUGGUAUGUAACCUAGCCAUGUAAAAAGUAUUGCUUGGGCAGAUAUAAUAAAUGGUAUGGUCCUUAUUCUAGCCUGAACAUGAAGAACUUACACCAGAACAGAAAGACACAGUUUCAGAUCUUUCCAUGUCUUGGGAUCUUCCGGCAGUCACCAAAACAAAUCGGAGAUGGCUACAUAAUAAACUUCUACUCCAUGCAGUGAGUUCCUGCUGGUUAAGUGACAGAUUUCAUUGCUGUACUUGUUGAAAUUAUAGAAUGUAUUCUGAACCCUGGCUUGUUAAUGUUAACACGAGAGUUUAAGUACUAGAGUUUUAAUGGAUUUUAUGAGGCACUUUAUUGUGCUUUUAUUAACAUUUUUUCUACUGUGCGAACUUUUGUCAAAUUUGGGUUUUAAUAUGGGUCGGUGGGAGGACCAUGCGCCAAAUUAAACAGUUGAGAAAGGGACUGAAAGAUGUAAUGGUAUGGCCCCUGCUGACAUCUAGGCCAGAUGUUGUCCCACUUUUCCCCAAAAUGGCUGAAAUGCAGUUCACACCCCAGGUAAGUCAGUAAUUGAGUUACAUUUGUGACUUAACUUGAUGAAUUUUACGUCUAUUUUCAAUGACUGAGCUGGCUAUUUUUCCAUUUUCCAAGAAUGUGAUCUGCAUAGUCCUUCACCAAAAUAAGUUCUCCCUUUUUAAAAUUACAAUUUUUGUUUUCUUUAAGAUGCUCCUAGAAAAAAAAUCACAUGACCAGUUGAGGACAGUGACGAUGAAGACUUUGACACCACCUGCCGCAUCACUGGCUUUCUAAGGAUGUUCAUUGAAACAGGUAUAAACCUUAUUUCUCUUUACAAAUGCUUCUAUGUCUCAUGGAUAGAUAUGAUCAAAUAAAGUAAACUAAAUGUCUUCAAUCCAUUGUAUGACUUUCAGCUUCAUCAGGUACCCUGGCCCAGCUGCUGACAUUCUGGGUUGGCUGGGAGAGGCUUCCUCCUGAACUGACAGUGGAGAUUUCUGAGGGAACCCUUCCUACGUCCUCCACAUGCUUUGAAACACUAACGCUGCCAGCUCAUUUCAAGAUCUACAUGGACUUUGAGAAAGCACUGGAUUUGGGCUUGUUUAAUUUUUUUCAGACAGAUGUCAAUUAGGGCUGGGCAAUAUUUCAAUAUUAUAUCUAUUGUGAUUUUGAAGCGUAAUAUCGUUACAUAGUAAGUUUAGUCUUUUCCUGUUUUCAAAGGCUGCAUUACAGUAAAGUGUCAUUUUCUGAAUUUACCGGACUGUUCUAUUAUUUGCCUUUAACCACUUAGUCAUUAUAUCCACAUUAUGAUGGUUAUUUAUCAGAAAUUUAAAUGUGGAAGAUAUUUUGUGAAUGAAUCAAUUGUUAACCAUACAAUAUAGUCAUUGAGGUGUUUGGUCAAAACUAUUGUGAUAUUUGAUUUUCUCCAUAUUGCCCAGCCCCAAUGUCAAUGCCUACACUGUUCAGAUGAAUUGACACAAGUUCAGUGUCUUUGAAAACUUUGAUUAACACACUGUGGUCGUUUAUUUAUUUUUUAUAACCUAUGAGGAAUAUGGACGAAGAGAUGCACUUUAAGUAUUUCCGCAUGUCGGCUUUGUCACGGUGUGGUUCACUUCAUGUUAUAUUUUGUAGUUUUCUGCCACUCGUGUCCCCGGGUAACUUCACUUCCUGCCUUGUCCCGUCAUCCCCUGUGAUCGUCUAAUACAGGGGUCUCAAACUCGCGGCCCGCGGGCCAAUUGCGGCCCUCGGGACGAUAUUUUGUGGCCCCAUCCUUAAUAUGAAAGUGUAAUGUUAGUGCGGCCCGCAAGUUUUAUACUGUAACCCCACUGUCAGCUGCUGUGUGGGAAAUGUUAUGAUGUUCUGGUUUCCUACUGUGUGCUUGUCCAGUGAACGUGGCAUGCAUGUGACUGACAUGGGGGGCGGGUCGUGUGUGUCGGCCGAGGUGCAGAGAGCAGGAGGGUGAAAUUCAGUUUCCUGCCCUCUUUCGCGCAGGUGAUCAUGUGACUAACCUUUUCCUUUACGACUCACACUAACAACACAUGAAGCAUCGGACGUCACCGACGAGCGUCUCCGUCCAUUCUAUUCUAGGACACACAGGAGGAGGGAGGGAGAGGACACUGGCUGUUGCUGGCAUUUACCAAGCAAAUACGCCACUGGAGCCACGGGAGCACAGAGCAGCACGCAUCUAGUCGCCCGGAAAUGACGCACAAGAGGAAGAGCUUCUUCUUCUUCUUCUUUUGCUUUUUAUGGCGGUUGGCAAACAACUUUCGGGUGCAUUACCGCCACCCACUAAUCUGGAGUGUGGAUUUAAGGAAAUUAAACCUCUACUAGAACUCAACCAAAUCAAAACCGAAAAA
ensembl:lncRNA